GACAGAGGGUGCAAACGUUGUUCGGAGUUACUGGGCGUAAAGCGAGUGUAGGCGGUUCGAUAAGUCGGAUGUGAAAGCCCCCGGGCUCAACCCGGGAAGUGCACUCGAUACUGUCGAGCUAGAGUAUCGGAGAGGUUGGUGGAAUUCUCGGUGUAGAGGUGAAAUUCGUAGAUAUCGAGAGGAACACCGGUGGCGAAGGCGGCCAACUGGACGAAUACUGACGCUGAGACUCGAACAGCGUGGGAGGCAAACAGG
rnacentral:rRNA from 1 species